rnacentral:lncRNA from 1 species
AACUUUAAACCCAUGCCUAAUUUUUUUUCAUAAUAUGCAUUCACUAUGAAUUUUUUUGAAGAUCUCUCAUAUGCUUCUGGUUUACAUGUUUACUCUACUACUCUACUACAGUUUUUGUCAUUCUGUGUACAAAAGAAACUUACUGUAAAACAGUAACAGCAGCAGCAGCUUCAUACAUUUCGUGUUUCUGCAUCUCUAGAUUGCAUUAUUUUUCUUGUGCUUGAUUUGACCUCCUCUUAUUUUGGUCAGUCUGGCCCCAGCAGCAGUAGGCAAUAUCCCAUACAGUCCAGGUGUGUAGUAGGCUAUACCAUGUAGGUUUACGAAAACAUAAGAGGUUUUUGAAAAAGUUCGUGGAAAAUUUCUAUUAUUAAAAACAUGCUGGGUUUCCAAAAAUUUCUUGCACAAAACUAAUUUUAUAUUUCAAUCUCAUUUGUGAACUUUCUGAAGUACUCUUCAUAUACUGCAAAGCCCACACAAUGAGAGAAGGAGAGAAAGAGAGAGAGAGAGAGAGUGAGAGAGAGAGAAUGAGAGGAGUCCCAACAAUUUUCAUUCUUGGAUCAAUUUUGAAUUAAUCUUGGACUUGUAUCCAAGAUCAAGGUCCCCUCUUCUCAUUACUGUGCCCUGCUAAUAACUCCUGUUUUAUGUAUGUGGAAGCUAAUUAGCAAUGCUUGGCAUUUCUUUGUGUUUCUAUUUUACAGUGGAAAUCAUUAAGAAAAAUGAGCAGUGGGAGAAAAUGCAUGAAUGGGACAGUUACAUUUAUUGGGCAGCCAGUACCCUCAUAUACCCUGGCUGAAGUGAAUCUAGGACUUCUAUUUGAAUUCUCAACCGUGGUGUGAAAAUGAGAGGAACAUUUCAGGAAUACUUCAGUUCCUGUCAACUGACAGCAGUCAAUCACAGACGUGGGAGCCCAAUAAAAAAGCCCAGCGUGCCAUCUGCCUCCCCGGGAACCAUUUGGUUGCGGGACAAAGCUUUGCUCCAGGCUGAACAUUCUGGAAGAAUUCCCAGAAACUAUGAAAGACGUUUCUAAAGAAGUACACCAGGAAAAAGAUGAAGGUGUGGAAUGCAGGUGAACACAGGGCAAUCUGGCACCUGAGAGAAAUGAAAACAAGCCCCAUGGGGGAUGGACAAGAAAUGUUCCCAGAGACCAGUUGUGCAGCAGGG